UACGUAGGAUCCAAGCGUUGUCCGGAUUUACUGGGUGUAAAGGGUGCGCAGGCGGACUGGUUAGUCAGGAGUGAAAUCUCGGCGCUCAACGCCGAAACGUCUUUUGAUACUGCCAGUCUUGAAUAAGCGAGAGAUUCGUGGAAUUCCGAGUGUAGCAGUGAAAUGUGUAGAUAUUCGGAAGAACACCAGUGGCGAAGGCAGCGAAUUGGCGCUUUAUUGGCGCUCAGGCACGAAAGCAUGGGGAUCAAACAGG
rnacentral:rRNA from 1 species